GAGGGUAUAGCUCAGUGGUAGAGCAUGUGCUUAGCAUGCACAAGGUCCUGGGUUCUAUCCCUAGUACCAGCA
rnacentral:tRNA from 1 species